UCCUUCCUCUCCUGGGGGCCGCAAAGCCACAUCAAGCGGCAGUGGGGCGGGGGCUCCCCCUCCCCUCCACCUGCACUUCCUGCCCCCCCCCAGGGACUCCGCCCUCGUGUGGCCCGGGGCAAGACAGAGGCCUGGGAGAUAAGUAGGACUGAGGGGACCUCCUUCCGGAGAGCCUACCAGGGCGGAGGCGCUGAGUUUGCAGUCAGGCCCCUGUCUGCCCCGGGCUCUCCUGCUGCUGAGGGUGUGAAGAGAAGGCCGCCCCGCCCCUCACUUUACAGAGGCCCCGGGGACCUGCAGCAGCGGGGUAGCAGGUGGCGGAGACAGGCGGGGGAUCCCAGACCCUCUGGUGCCCCGAGCCCCCCAGGGAUGCUCUGCCCGGGGGGCGGGCUGUGCCUCCUUCUUUCCGAGUGGCCCAGAGAACAGCAUGUGUGCGGCUGAAUGUCCUGAAUCUGAGACGAGAGGAGGCGAAGAGCUCGAGAAGGUCAUGAAAGGUCGGAGGGCGGGAUGACGUCUGUCUGGUCCACUCCCCCCAAACUUGGCAGCACCCAGCACUUGGCAGGGUCUCCAGCGAUGUUCGUAGAGUGAACACGGGGCUGCGGAUCCGCGUGCCGGGCUCGUCCCUGGCCCAGAACCUCACCCUGACACCCUCGCUUGCUACUCGGCGUCUGGGACGGGAGAGACUCGACUACUGGGCGCCUCCCUCACGUGUGCACCACUGCGCUGUUCGCAAAGGUGACGUUUGGUAGCAACUGCCAUCCUCCCAGGAGGCCAGUGGUAAGUUAAGAGGUUAGACUGGUUGACCCCUGACCCAGAGGGGGCAGCACAGGUGGGCCUGAGCCAGAGGGACCCCGGAACAUCUUAUCAGGUGGAACUAGUGACCGCACCCCUACUUGACCCACUUCACCUAGAACAAUUGCAGCUGCGUUUGGUUCAACAUUAAAGAAUUUGAAUUAAGCUGAAUUUAAUUAAAAAUCUUUGUUUGACACCUACAGACCUCCCUCCUCUUGACCCGGGUUGCCUCUUUUUCUCUUCCUUCCAGGAGGGGAGCGCUUCCCGGGCCAGCCCUGCGCACCUGCUGGAGAGAGGCGGGGGCAGACCUCCCCCGGCCCCCCACGGCACACGGGCGCGCCGCCUGUCACCCUCCUUUCCCUCUGAUGUUCAUCGUCACCUCCCCCCUCAGUUCUGGUCCCCGCGCUCUCCCCCUGGGGGGCCAGGGACUGCUGCUCCCACGAGGGUGGCUCAGACCUGCCGGCGGCAGCUGCCGGCGAUGUUGGCCUGUUGGCACGAGGGUCUCUUGGCCGAGCUUGUCCUUGAAGCCCCGAUUCCCUGCAGACUGGAGACAGCCUUGCUCCCAGGGGCUCCCAAUCCUCUUUGUCCAGAGUGAACAGAAGGGCUUCAGUUUCUUUGCACCUUACCAGAUGGCUGCCCGGAGUAACUGGUGCCAGGCAGGGGCCAAGGACAGGGACGUUUCGUACGCAGCAAACCAAUGCCAUUCAGCGAAGUUCUACACAAAUGACGGUCUCACGUGCUCGGCUAAUCUGGAGGUCUCCCUUCCCUACAUUUACUUUCCCAUUUUCUGAGUCAGACUUGACAAGCUUCUUGGAUAAGGCGUGGUACAUUAUGCAUCAGAGCUGGUUGGAGGAAGGAAAUUUAAGUUAGCCACUGUCCUGAGAAAUUCUACUUACAGUACAAAGUUUGUGGUCUAAGUGGUGAUGAGGUCUGUUCACGAAUAAACCAUGACCAUGAAGGGCAUUUUGCAGUGGUUUUAUGUUCUUUUCGCUUUUCCGAGCCUCCUUUCCAGCACAGCUGCACGUUCCCUGCGCACGGCGCGCGGCCCGGGAUCGCAGAGGGAGGGCAUACAGUCAGUGAGCUUGCUCAAGAAUAAAUUUCAAAGGCUCGUCUUAAAACUGGAGCUCAUUUGAGGUUCUGAAUGGCCAAACGCCGACGUUGUCCUCAGUGCUCUCCAGACCUCAUCUACGUGGCAAGCGUUAAAAUCGGGAUCGGCCAAAGAGCUCUGUGGCAGGUUACGCGGGGCCCGGAAAGGUCCCAUGCAUCUCAGGGCCCUGAAGCCUCGGGCCUCACGGUGGAGGAGCCCAGGGUUUGUAACAGGACGGGCAGUGCUGUGGUCAGCCGCCUCCCAGGUCUCAGAUCUGGUGCACAGCACUGCCUCUUGCUGAGUUUCCACUUUUCUUGCAGUAAAAUGGGGGGUGAACACACCACGUCUCCUUCAAAGGGCAUCUGCUCCUCCCUCGUGGCUGUAAGGCCCGUGUGGCCGCUCCGCGGUGCCCCGCCUGCUUCUCAAAGGUUCUUUGGGGAGUUACUGUCAUUACCUGCACGUUCCACCUUGAAUCGUUCUUUGCAUUUCAAAGCUUUUGAGGAAACGUCUUCUAAUUUAUUUGCCUGGCGUGAGGCUCUGUCUUCACGUGGAAGACUGUGUUAUCGCCUGCCUGGUCUUCUCCACCGCUCAGCACUGCCCCGGCCGCCUUGGGCAGCUUCCACCCCCAAACCAGUAAGAAGACGACCACAAAAGGGCAGGAGGUCGAGGAGUGAUGGUGGACUCAGAGGAGACGGGAAAAGGCGCUGACGUGGAGAAGAGACGGCAGCAGGGCUUCCGACCCGGACAGGCUGCGGGCGAGGCGCCCUUGUCCACGUGGACGCCUCGCACUUGCGACGCAGCGUGGGAGUCCCAGCAAGACUGACGACAAGCGAGACUGGGUCAGUCUUCCCGUGCGAAGUGGGGGGGACUGGCUGGGCCCGUCCCCAAGGCGAGUGAUGGGGCCACCGGGGGCUCGUCCCCAUCGUGCUCCUCAGCGUCACACGGUGCCGGCCCCGCCGAUGCUGGAAGAGUGUCUGUGGAACAGAUGGAUGAGCAAAUGAGUCAAAGUGUGAAAUGUGGCCUCAGGGCCCCACGUUCACUGUGUUCUGUCUUCCACUCGCUUAAACCCCGAAGUUCCAGGGAAAAUACAUCCUGAGACUCAAAAAUGAGACACUCAGAUCUGCCUCAAGGGCGAGGCCUGGCGGUCCUGCCCCCGUGUGGUCCCGCCCCCACACGCUCGUCUCCCUUCCCCGCACCGCUGGGUGGACCGAAGGGUCUGCCAUCAGCGUGAGGCCAGUACCGCCAGCCCCCCUGCCCCGCUCCGGGGCCCCAGAACCUUUGCUAGAAGCUCUGGAUCCCCGUGGGAUCCGAGCUGGGUGUCGGCUCCUGUCCCCUCGGGGGGGGCUGGCCUGGGCUGGCACGUGUCCUCCUCCUGGAAUGAGGAAGUCCACGUCUCACUGUGCUUGUUGAGAAAAACAAAACACAAAAACACCGACCAGAUCCAGAGCACUUCCUGUUGGCAAAUCCUUUGAGCAAGAUCAUAUUCAUGUACUUAGCUGUGAAAGCUGUAACUUGAAGAGGCCGGUUAAGAAUUAGGACUCCUGGCAUCCUCUGGCCCCGCAAGUCCCUCCAGUCCCCGAAAGCCAAGCUGCCAGCCUUCCCCACGGCCGCCCCCACGGACACCUGGCCCCCAGGGAGCUCCCCAUCUGCAGCCCUGAGCCCGUCCUCAGACUCGGAGCUUCCCACCCCUCUCAGAACUGUUGCUAAGCCCAGAACCACAUCAUAAACCACUCAGAGAGCGGCCAAGGGGGUGUUCACUGAGCACCCCCCCGUCCGGCACCGUGCGACGCACGACCUAAAGACCGAUCGACCUGUCGACCGACGUCUGGGAAGGGACUCACUCCUGUCUGUGGCUUAACCUCCCCUGACGCUCAGAGGGCAUCCACCCAGUUCCCCCGGGCCAGGGGGACCAGGGCUCCUGAGUCACUGCCCGGGACGCUCCCCCUCGCCCCUGCCUCUGGCUGUUCUGGUCAGGGGACAACUGGUUUGGGGGCCUGGUCUUUCUUCAGAAGGGCUUCCUUCUGUGAGGUGGCCUGUUGGCUGUCC